AACAUCAGUAGUGGUUAAUACUAUCUUUAGAUAAUAUUAAUUUCAUUAUACCAUAGAAACCUAAAGAUUGAAUUAUUUUUGUUCUUCAUGUUAUGGGUACGAAUGAUGAGGGGCUUGCUCUUUUGAAUCCGUAUCACAUAAUAAGUUAAUACUGGAACGAGAAUAAUUUAAAUCAUUUCAUCAUAACCCAUAGCUGAAUGAAUUUUGACUACUCCUAAACAAAGUAGCUACAUUUUUCAUUUCGUUUCCGGUUUCUUAGAUCAAAUAUUAUUCUGAAGGAGUUCUCUAAUCAAAAGUUAGGGAAAGGUUCGCGUUUUUAGAGGAUUGUGUAAAGCAAUUUGUGAGUUUAAAAUCUUAGGCGACUCUUCUUCAUGAUAAGACAGUU
rnacentral:snoRNA from 1 species